rnacentral:rRNA from 1 species
CCCUUAGAUGUUCUGGGCCACACGCGCGCUACACUGACGAAUGCAACGAGCUUAUAACCUUGGCCGAAAGGUCUGGGUAAUCUCCAAAUUUCGUCGUGAUGGGGAUAGAUUAUUGCAAUUAUUAAUCUUCAACGAGGAAUGCCUAGUAAGCGCAAGUCAUCAGCUUGCGUUGAUUACGUCCCUGCCCUUUGUACACACCGCCCGUCGCUCCUACCGAUUGAAUGGUCCGGUGAAGCGUUCGGACCGUGGCCUUUGGACGGUUCGCCGUCUGUUGGCUGCGGGAAGUUCGUUAAACCUUNUNAUUUAUNGGAAGGAGAANUCGUANCA